rnacentral:rRNA from 1 species
GAUGAACGCUGGCGGCGUGCCUAAUACAUGCAAGUCGAGCGAACAGACGAGGAGCUUGCUCCUCUGACGUUAGCGGCGGACGGGUGAGUAACACGUGGAUAACCUACCUAUAAGACUGGGAUAACUUCGGGAAACCGGAGCUAAUACCGGAUAAUAUAUUGAACCGCAUGGUUCAAUAGUGAAAGACGGUUUUGCUGUCACUUAUAGAUUGAUCCGCGCCGCAUUAGCUCGUUGGUAAGGUAACGGCUUACCAAGGCAACGAUGCGUAGCCGACCUGAGAGGGUGAUCGGCCACACUGGAACUGAGACACGGUCCAGACUCCUACGGGAGGCAGCAGUAGGGAAUCUUCCGCAAUGGGCGAAAGCCUGACGGAGCAACGCCGCGUGAGUGAUGAAGGUCUUCGGAUCGUAAAACUCUGUUAUUAGGGAAGAACAAAUGUGUAAGUAACUAUGCACGUCUUGACGGUACCUAAUCAGAAAGCCACGGCUAACUACGUG